GUGGGUGUAGCUCAGUGGCAGAGCACGCUUAGCAUGCACAAGGCUCUGGGUUCAACUCCCAGCACCUCCA
rnacentral:tRNA from 1 species